CCUCCGGGGGGCUGCAGUGGGGAAUAUUGGACAAUGGGGGCAACCCUGAUCCAGCCAUGCCGCGUGUGUGAAGAAGGCCCUCGGGUUGUAAAGCACUUUCAGUGAGGAAGAACGCCUGGUGGUUAAUACCCAUCAGGAAAGACAUCACUCACAGAAGAAGCACCGGCUAACUCCGUGCCAGCAGCCGCGGUAAUACGGAGGGUGCGAGCGUUAAUCGGAAUUACUGGGCGUAAAGCGCGCGUAGGUGGCUUGAUAAGCCGGUUGUGAAAGCCCCGGGCUCAACCUGGGAACGGCAUCCGGAACUGUCAAGCUAGAGUGCAGGAGAGGAAGGUAGAAUUCCCGGUGUAGCGGUGAAAUGCGUAGAGAUCGGGAGGAAUACCAGUGGCGAAGGCGGCCUUCUGGACUGACACUGACACUGAGGUGCGAAAGCGUGGGUAGCAAACAGGAUUAGAUACCCGAGUAGUC
rnacentral:rRNA from 1 species